AGCCUGAACUAAACUAAUGAAACCGGCUUAUUAGGUCAACUGUAUUCACUGGGGGAAUAAUGUUCUUUUUUCUCCAACUAUACUACCUAUGAAAUUCCUCUUCCCUUCUUUGGACAAUAUCUCCACCAUUCCCUAAGGCCUUCUUCUUAAGGGCAAUGACUCACCUUCUGGCACUAAAUGUCCAGCUCAGGCCCAGCUAGCUUCUGGGUGUCCAGUUUGCACUCCAGGCGGUGGACGGGCCAGGGGCUCCCACCAUGGUCUCUCUUGCUGCCCUGCCAUGGAGACAGCCCCAGAUAGCCCCCCACAUCAUAAGGGGUUUUCAAGGAUGUGCAGAGGGAGGACAUACAUUGCCAGAGCCACCUGGAAGCGGUGAAGCCAGCAGAAGUGAUGCCUACCAGGUGCCAGACGCUGCUCCAGAGACCAGACAUUCUGCAAGCCUGCCAGAGCCUUGACUCUCAAGGAGCUCGUAGUCUAAUGGACAUGCGAGUGAAGGAUGCUUUCAUCUGGCAGCAAGAAGAGCGCCCUCCCCAACCUCACACAGCCUGUGUGACUUCUGUCUCCAAGGAAUAGGGCACCAGGUGUCCCUAAUUCCUACUCUCACUCUCCUCCCAACCUGCGCGUUCACCCACUUGCAUUGAUCCAGAAGGUUUAUACAUGUCAGCUGAUGAACUAUAGAGUCACACAACUAUCGAGAGUGACACCAACUGCAGCCAAACAACCAAGUCACAAAACGUUGAAUCGAUGUCGGCCAAGGACCACCUCUGAUCUAAGAAGCCAGCUAAAUAAAUGAGACUCCUGUCUGAUAUGAGAGCUCAGUAACAGACUUAGGUGACGCACAAUAUCAAAUUUCUUUGCAAGUGGGCGCCUACUGGCACGUGAUUACCAUUGGUCCACUGAAGACUCCUCUGUUAUAUUUCUUUCCUGUCACCUUUAUUUCCACCCCUAUUCCUUCCAUAGGCUACCAUUCUAUUCUGUUAAAUAUACCUUAUUUGCAUAUAUUUAAAAUUACGCAAGUGGUGUUGUUAUAUAUACUAUGAUUUUAAUGUUCCCCCCCGCCAAAACUCAUGCUGAAAUUUAAUCCCCAGUGUGGCUAUAUUGAGAGGCGAGGCCUUUAAAGGGUGAUUGGAUCAUGAGGGCACUGUCCUUAUGGUGGAUUAAUCUCAUGGAUUAACAGAUUAAUGGAUUAAUUUAAUGAGUUACCAUGGGAGUGGGACUCAUGGCUUUAUAAGAAGAGGAAGAGACCUGAGCUAGCACAGUAGCACACUCAGUCCCCUCACAAUGUGAUAGCCUGCACCACCUUGAGACUCUCAGAGUCCCCACCAGCAAGAAGGCCCUCACCAGAUGCAGCCCCUCAACCUUGUACCUCACAGCCUCCAUAUCUGUAUGAAAUAAAUACCUUUCUUUUAUAAAUUA